rnacentral:rRNA from 1 species
UACGGAGGGUGCAAGCGUUAUCCGGAUUCACUGGGUUUAAAGGGUGCGUAGGGUGGGUUGGUAAGUCAGUGGUGAAAUCUCCAGGCUUAACUUGGAAACUGCCAUUGAUACUAUCAAUCUUGAAUACCGUGGAGGUCAGCGGAAUAUGUCAUGUAGCGGUGAAAUGCUUAGAUAUGACAUAGAACACCAAUUGCGAAGGCAGCUGGCUACACGAAUAUUGACACUGAUGCACGAAAGCGUGGGGAAUCAAACAGGGA